AUUUCUUUAAAUAAAUUAUUCUUAAAGUUUCAGAUUUGUUUAAUAGAAAUAAAAUUUUGAUGAAUUAUAUUAGAGGUAUGAUAUUCUCAGUAAGUCCUAUUAUUUAUGCUAAAAAUACCCUUUGGGUUUAUACAUAAAGUGCUUAGCAAAGCAGUUUUUCACUUUCACUUGUAACUCCUUAACAAUGUUCCUGACAUCACCACCAACCUCUCUUUUAUCCAGGCCUGCAAAAUGACAGCCAUCCUUAGUUUUUUUCUUACCCCAGCAAUUGACUCAGUUCUAUUAAUACACAUUAACAGACCUAUCACAAAGGACUACCCAGUUUGGCCAGAGAGUUCUGAGAUGAUAUAUUUAAUUCAAAAUGGCCUCCUUCCCAAUCUCCCACCUCUUCUCUCUCCUCAGCCCCUACACUUCACAACAAGUAUUAGGUCUAGACAGGACUGUCCCCUUCACUGACAAAAAAAAAAAAAAAAGCAGAAAGGAUUCAACAUGAUAUCUGUUUGUGGAUGAUAAAAAAAAUUUUUAAAGAGAAAAUCAACAAAGGGAAACAUGAAGAAGAAACAAAAUUUAAAAAAUAUUUAUCUGUACAUCCAGGAAAUCAUGAAAAUCGGCACUCCGAUUUAACAGGAAAGAGUUGCAAGAAAUCCGAGAACAGAUUUCUUGAAGAAAAUGCACCCUUGGUUAUGUAUGGCAUCACUCACCAUCUGUUCAUGGAUACUUCUACAUGCAAAGUUGUACAUGACUUGGAAUAAACCAGCUCUAGUUUUA
rnacentral:lncRNA from 1 species